AUGAACGCUAGCGAUAGGCUUAACACAUGCAAGUCGAGGGGCAGCAUGGUCUUAGCUUGCUAAGACUGAUGGCGACCGGCGCACGGGUGCGUAACGCGUAUGCAACUUGCCUCACAGAGGGGGAUAACCCGUCGAAAGACGGACUAAUACCGCGUACACUCUAUUUUGGGCAUCCAAGGUAGAGGAAAUGAAAUUCGCUGUGAGAUAGGCAUGCGUCCCAUUAGCUAGUUGGUGAGGUAACGGCUCACCAAGGCGACGAUGGGUAGGGGAACUGAGAGGUUGAACCCCCACACUGGUACUGAGACACGGACCAGACUCCUACGGGAGGCAGCAGUGAGGAAUAUUGGUCAAUGGGCGAGGGCCUGAACCAGCCAAGUCGCGUGAAGGAUGACUGUCUUAUGGAUUGUAAACUUCUUUUGUAGGGGAAUAAAGAGGGGCACGUGUGCCCCAGUGAAUGUACCCUACGAAUAAGCAUCGGCUAACUCCGUG
rnacentral:rRNA from 1 species